rnacentral:lncRNA from 1 species
UCCAGAAAAACAACAAAACCCCGUGAAGGGGCGACAACGCUGCAGAGCACACACCGGGUCGCUGUCUUUGUGGAGGAGGCGCAGGAAAGCGGCAGUUCCGCCGGUGGGCGGCUCCUGAGGGGCACCGCAGCCGGCGGGCGGAGGGGGGCGGCGUCCGGGCGGGGCGGCCGGUUGGGGCGGGGGACGGAGCACUUCCGUGAGCCGCUUCGCUUGGAGGACCCGGGAGAUGUGUCCUUGGCGGUGCCCGACUUAAAGGAGGUGUGGGGGCGCUGGGUAUCCUCGCGGCAUCUAGCCCGCGGCGGCCGCCGGGGGUUCUGUGCUGUAGGGAAGACCGCGCGCGUGUUCCGAUCCCUAAAAAGUCCGAGGCUGCGGCGGAUAGUCACAGAGCGGUCCCCAGCCGGCGCCGCGUCCUUACUGCGCACGCGCGACGCCGCCGGAGCCCGCGGGGACCCCCUCGGAGACCCCCUCGGAGACCCCCUCGGGGGUGUGGCGCCACUAGGAAGGGUUUGUCGCUGUUUUGCGCGUGCGCGCGCCCGAGCGCCGGAGCUGCAUGAGGUCUGGGGCCGGGCGUGUCUCAUCGGCUGGUGGCGGCGCCAGGGCCCCUGGUCGUGCUCUGGAGAUGCGGCGGUGGCCCGGGAGGCGGCAGGACGGCCAGGACAGGCGCGAGGGCCCUGGGAACAGCCCGGCAGUGCCUCCAGGGGAUUGCAUUCAGCCGCUGGCUCUUCUGGGGAAGACAGACAUCAUUUUCUCAGUGGCUAUGUUCAAAACCACCCAAAGGAACUGGUGAGCCAAAGGAAUGCUGGACCUGGAGCAGAUGGAGGCAAGAGAGGGGAAAGCAGAGAGACUUUGCCUGGUAGAGACAGAUACAGAAGGUGGACUGGCCGGAAGUCGUUAACAGUUGGUGUGUGUGUCAUCCAUCCCUGGCACUGGGAUGGCAUCUGA